rnacentral:misc_RNA from 1 species
AAAGUCGUAACAAGGUUUCCGUAGGUGAACCUGCGGAAGGAUCAUUAUCAACGUUAUCCACGUAUAAACCAAUCUUCGUGAACCGUUUCUUUAUUAACCAAUUGAAAUCAUUUUCUAUGGUUGUCUUUUAACAUAUCGGAACUGACUUGUUUCUUACUUUUUGUUUUUUUAAUUAAAAACGAAGAGAAGAAAUUCGAAAGAAUACGAAAUUAAUCGAACAACUCUUAGCAACGGAUAUCUUGGUUCUC